AUGGAAGCGCAACAAAAAGGCUACACCACUUAAUCCCUUGUGGAUCAAAUUCCUUGGAGAGGCGGGGAUUGAUACAGGGGCCCUUAGAAAAGAGUUUCUGACCACAAUGGUAUCUGGGAUUGAGCAACGCCUUUUUGAAGGUGGGAAGUCCAAAAUGCCCAAAUAUUCUGUGAAUGACUUAGAUGAGGAGCUCUUCAGGAUUGCGGGUGAAAU